rnacentral:rRNA from 1 species
AUUGAACGCUGGCGGCAGGCCUAACACAUGCAAGUCGAGCGGUAGCACAGGAGAGCUUGCUCCUGGGUGACGAGCGGCGGACGGGUGAGUAAUGUCUGGGAAACUGCCCGAUGGAGGGGGAUAACUACUGGAAACGGUAGCUAAUACCGCAUAACGUCUUCGGACCAAAGUGGGGGACCUUCGGGCCUCACACCAUCGGAUGUGCCCAGAUGGGAUUAGCUAGUAGGUGAGGUAAUGGCUCACCUAGGCGACGAUCCCUAGCUGGUCUGAGAGGAUGACCAGCCACACUGGAACUGAGACACGGUCCAGACUCCUACGGGAGGCAGCAGUGGGGAAUAUUGCACAAUGGGCGCAAGCCUGAUGCAGCCAUGCCGCGUGUGUGAAGAAGGCCUUCGGGUUGUAAAGCACUUUCAGCGAGGAGGAAGGGUGGUGUGUUAAUAGCACAUCACAUUGACGUUACUCGCAGAAGAAGCACCGGCUAACUCCGUGCCAGCAGCCGCGGUAAUACGGAGGGUGCAAGCGUUAAUCGGAAUUACUGGGCGUAAAGCGCACGCAGGCGGUUUGUUAAGUCAGAUGUGAAAUCCCCGCGCUUAACGUGGGAACUGCAUUUGAAACUGGCAAGCUAGAGUCUUGUAGAGGGGGGUAGAAUUCCAGGU